rnacentral:rRNA from 1 species
GACGAACGCUGGCGGCGUGCUUAACACAUGCAAGUCGAACGGAAAGGCCCUGCUUUUGUGGGGUGCUCGAGUGGCGAACGGGUGAGUAACACGUGAGUAACCUGCCCUUGACUUUGGGAUAACUUCAGGAAACUGGGGCUAAUACCGGAUAGGAGCUCCUGCUGCAUGGUGGGGGUUGGAAAGUUUCGGCGGGUGGGGAUGGACUCGCGGCUUAUCAGCUUGUUGGUGGGGUAGUGGCUUACCAAGGCUUUGACGGGUAGCCGGCCUGAGAGGGUGACCGGCCACAUUGGGACUGAGAUACGGCCCAGACUCCUACGUGAGGCAGCAGUGGGGAAUAUUGCACAAUGGGCGGAAGCCUGAUGCAGCAACGCCGCGUGCGGGAUGACGGCCUUCGGGUUGUAAACCGCUUUCGCCUGUGACGAAGCGUGAGUGACGGUAAUGGGUAAAGAAGCACCGGCUAACUACGUG